rnacentral:miRNA from 1 species
CUCUCUCGCCUCCAUGACCUGA